rnacentral:lncRNA from 1 species
AUGCUCUCUCAGAGGCACAAACAUCGAUUAUGGGCUGGGCUCUGGGCAGUGCUGGGUCCCUUUGCUGCCAGCAGAAACUGGCCCUUAUUUAAUACAAGGCAGCUCUUGGAUCCUUCUCACAGAGGCCGGGCCCGCUGCCCCCUGCUACCAAACCCUUGCUGUGCAAACCCACCGCAGGAUUUCAGGACCUGCAGGAGCACCCCCAGCCCUCCCUCACUUUUUUCCCUUGCCAAAGCGAUGGCAAGGCUGCGAAAACAAGGAACGGGCAUGGUGGGAGCCCAGGGGCACCCAGGGGUCUCACACCACCACGGGUGCCCCCCUGGGGGGGUGUUGGUGACAGCGAGGUGUCGCACAACGAGGCCGGGGCCGGGGCCGCUGCGGGCGGUGCCCGGGCAGCCGCUGCCCCUCAGGGCCUCCCCCGGCGGCCGUUGGUGGUGGGAGGGGGCGCGGGUGGGGGGCCGGAGCGCAGGUAGCGGGGAAGGGGCGGCCGGGGGGGCACGAGGGGGAGCGGAGCGCCCCGGGGGUACUGGGGAUGGAACGGGGGAGCCUCGGGGGUGGUGGGGGGCAGCCGGGGAUGCUGCAGGGGCCAGGCUGGGAAAUGGCGGCGCCGCCCCCCCAGCGCAGCCCCACCCGUCCCCUCCCCUCGUUUCGUCCCCAGAUGUCGGCCGUGAAGCAGCGGAGCGGCCGAGGCGAUGCCCAGGACGCUGCCAGGGACUCGCAGGCCCGGCCCGGCCGCGUCAAGCGCCGCAGGACCAGGGGGGAGCGGAACCGCACCAAGUUCGGCCCAGGCCUCCCCAGCAGCACCAGGCGGCAGGGGCCGAGACCCCCCUGGGGGGGCGUCCCCCCGCUCCCCCGGCCCGCCCCCCCCCAGCACAGCCCCCUGCCGCCCCCCCGGCCCGUCAUCAUCACCCAGCAGCGCCUCAGCCGCCCCCGCGGCCUCCUGGGCCGGGGGGUGACAUCGGGGGACAUCCAGCGCCUGCUGGGGGGCGGGCAGGGGGGCGCUCCCCCCCCCGCCCGAGGGGCCGGGAGUGCCGGCAGGCAGCCCCCUCCCCGAGCUGGGGCUGGGGAGGGACGGGAGGCCGUCGACCCCCCGGCCCCAAGUCCCUCGAGGACCGGGGGGGGAGGACGGGGGCUCCUCCAGCCCCCCCAGGACGCCCCCCCGGGAGGUGCCCGGCCGCUUUGGGGCCCUGCUGCCGGCCCCCGCCGAGCUGUGGGGCCGGGCCCUGGCGGAGGAGCGGCGCCGAGCCGUGCUGGCAGCCCUGCUGGAGCGCCACCGAGCCCUGCCCGACCUCGCCGCCCUCCUGCCCCCCCGGGCCGUGGGGCUGCCCCCUCCUGUGUCACCCCCUGCCUCCCCUCCCUCGCCGGGGCUCUGCACCCCUGAAAUGGAGCCGCUUUCCCAGCCGCUGCGCCCCCCUGCACCUCUUCAGGCCGUCACUCAGAGCUGUUUCCCCUGGAUGGUGGAGGAUGAAGACGAGGCACACUCCGAAAAACCCGCCAUGCAAUUCUGCGUCCGGACCCCCUCACCACCGCUGUUCAGGGCCCGCCACCCUGCACCUUCCCCUGCCACCUACCUACCCGCAGGGCGCUGCACUCCCGAACCUGAGCUGCUGCCCCAACCAAUGCAGAGCAGGAACCCAGCACCCCAGCACCGCUGGCGCCGUGUCUCCCCACCAGCUGUCAAUCAGACUCCAAGCCCCCCUGCUGUUCCUCUGCCCCCUGUUUUCGGUGCCAAGAGGAAGGAGAAGCAGAGCUGGCUCCCCUGGAUGUCGGAAGAUGAGGAUGACACAUACCCUGAAGACCCAGCCCCACUGUUCUGUGUCCGGACACCAUCUCCACCACUGUUUGAGGGGCUCCCCCAGCCCCACAUCCCCCUGGGGGAGCCAGGCUGCACAUGCCGGGCAACAUGGGGCCCCAGGGUAG